UUAAAACCUUUCUCUCACCGCGUAGAUUUUCUUUUUCGCCGCGGCCUUGGCGUGUUCUGCUGGGUCUCUGUAGGGUUUUCUGAGAUUGCGACUAAUAUGUACUAAGUUUAAGACUGCAGGAUUUAGCGAAACAGCAUUUUAGAUUAACCCCGUUAUUAGUAAUGUUAAUUGACAUGCUUUCGGGUAGUUUUAGCGUAACGGCAGCGUUGUCUGUCGGGCCUCUAACACCCACGUGGAGCGAACCCGAAGGAUGAGGUUGUGACCGUUUGAGAGGAGGAAAUGCCACCACUGUCUAAGCUUAAACUGAAACCUACAUGAGGUGGAGGCCAUGACAGAAAACCUGAGGGUUAAGAUAAUGGGUUGUGACCGUUUGAGGAAAUGCCAGCAAUGUCUAAGCUUGAACUCAAACCUACACAAGGUGGAGGCCGUGACCUGAAACCCAGAGGGACAAGUUUGACUUCAUCUCUGCCUGAACUGAAUGAGAUCAGCUGACAAGUGCAGAUGACUUAUGGUAACCAGCAUAAAGCAAUGCCAUGGACCUUUUUUUCUUUUUUUUUUUUUAAAUAGUGUAACUGCAUGUUUUUGCACACAAAGUAACAUGUCUAAUCUGUGAAAUAAACUGUUGCUUUCUGAA